CACUGAUUCUUUCCUAAGGACAGAUUUAGAAUUCCUGAUUUUAAGUCAUGUUGCAAUUGCUUUUCAGACUGGUUCCGUGUAGCCAGUGUGUAAAAUGGCAUGUCUUUAACUUCAGAAUGGUUUGCAAAGUAUUUGCAAUCAUCAGCAGCUGCAUGUUGGGUAUAUGCCAAUCUAACAUCUUGUCAAGCUCUUGGAAAUAUGUGUGUGAUGAACAUGAAUUCUUACGACUUUGCCACAUUUGAUGCAUGUCGACUAUUUCAGUUUAUCUUUGAAAAUACUGCUGGGCUGAGCACUGUUCAUUCUAUUUUAUUUUGGAGACAGAAUCUUCCUUGGCUGUUUUAUGGAGACCAGUUAGGAUUAGCACCUCAAGUGCUCAGUUCUACCUCUCUUCCUACAAAUUUCAGUUUUAAAGGAGAAAACCAGAAUACAAAACUGAAGUUUGUUGCUGCUUCCUAUGAUAUAAGAGGAAAUUUUCUCAAGUGGCAAACUUUAGAAGGAGGUGUUUUACAGCUUUGUCCAGACACAGAGACAAGGCUAAAUGCUGCUUAUUCAUUUGGAACAACCUA
rnacentral:sRNA from 1 species